rnacentral:rRNA from 1 species
UACGUAGGUGACCAGCGUUGUCCGGAUUUACUGGGCGUAAAGAGCGCGCAGGCGGUCGUUCAAGUCGAGUGUGAAAGCCCCCGGCUCAACUGGGGAGGGUCACUCGAUACUGAUCGACUGGAAGGCAGGAGAGGGAAGCGGAAUUCCCGGUGUAGUGGUGAAAUGCGUAGAUAUCGGGAGGAACACCAGCGGCGAAGGCGGCUUCCUGGCCUGUUCUUGACGCUGAGGCGCGAAAGCUAGGGGAGCAAACGGG